AUAUACCUUAGCUAGGUUUGUUUUAUGCUACUUUAAAAAAGCAUUUGUUCAUAAAUCCAUGAACCAUCUAGAUUUAUUGUAACAGGCCCCUAUUUUUGGCAAAUCCAACAUACAGAAAGUCCACAUAGAAUUGAAAAACAAAACCAUCUUCAAACAGGAGAAUAUUUUGGCAUUACAAAAGGAUUCAAGGCAGGGUUCCGAGGCUCUCACAUGCAGUGUUUUCUGAAAUAUACAUGUGUAUAUGGUGGCCCUUAAGAUUUUUAGUGCAUGCAAAUGGAUAGUCAAAUGAUUAAGUUAUGGAUGAUUUAAUGGCUUUUUCUAAACUAUUAAAUUAUCUGAUAUCUCUGCGUGAUUCUUAACAUGGAUUAGGUCAUUUAAUCAUACGAUCACUAUGAGAUGUAAUACUAAUCUACUUAUGUUACAGAUAAGGAAACUGAGGCUUAGGAAGAUCAAAUCCCUUCAACGGGCUGUGUGGGCUUGGAAUAGCAAAUUCAGGAUUUAAUGCAGACAAUCUGAAAACAGAGCCUGGCUUUAAACUGCUUUGGAUUCCAUGUCACUCCAGGAUAUGAGCUUUGGGAGAACAGGGUCUUUGAGCAGUGAAGACUGGAAAGCUAAGAAAGACCUCACAUUAUGUUUUGUCUCAACAUUUUUAAGGUGCAGUAGAAUUGGAUGUGAGUUCUAUGAAUAGUUGUAUGUAUUGGGUGUUCUGUUGUUGGAUGACAGAUCAGAAAGACAAGAAAUCUGAAUGCCUGAUACACAAAGGAGACACCAAACAUUCCACAGACUAUGUUCCUCUUGAGGUCUGUGUAAGCAGUACAUGUAAAUGUUUCAAUUCUUGUUACUUUGUUUUUAUUCAUUAAACACAGUCUAAAUUAAUUAUUACUGAUUUUUUCCUUCCCAGAUCCAUGCCCCCAACAGCUUCUAUUAAUUUUCUCAAUCCAAGAAGAAGAAGAAGCAUAUUUCAAGUGAGGAAAUCUUAUACUCAGUUUGGCUAACCCACAAAAGAGGUGUCUGAAACCUGCCACCGAGUUGAGGGAUUUUUGAAUGCAUUGUACGCAUGAAUCUCUAAUAGAAAAGAAUGAAGCAGGGUUGGUUUUUCAUAUUCUGUGGUCAAGUCAUGCAUAUUAACAGAAUGUUUUCUUUUCACAUCUCUCUCUGCCUGUCCUCUGUAAGAGUUCAGAGAGGAAGGCUU
rnacentral:lncRNA from 1 species